CAGCAGCGGCAGGCGUAUUCCAAAUCUGUUUAAAAAACGAGCAGCGGCCGGUGGCGGCGCGCCAAUCCUGACCAAUACUUCAGAUGUUGGCGCAGCGCAUCCCCCAUGUGGCGCCGAUAAAGGUGCUCAGGGACCGCGCGCCUUUGUUUUACUCCUAAUGGUCUUAACCCGGAUUCACCCCCCAGAACCCGG
rnacentral:sRNA from 1 species